rnacentral:misc_RNA from 1 species
AGCAGCCGCGGUAAUUCCAGCUCCAAUAGCGUAUAUUAAAGUUGUUGCAGUUAAAAAGCUCGUAGUUGAAUUUCGGGGUUAGUAGGUUGGUCAUGCCUCUGGUAUGUACUGGUCUCACUGAUUCCUCCUUCCUGAUGAGCCGUAAUGCCAUUAAUUUGGUGUUGCGGGGAAUUUGGACUGUUACUUUGAAAAAAUUAGAGUGUUUAAAGCAAGCUAACGCUUGAAUACAUUAGCAUGGAAUAAUGAAAUAGGACGUUCGAUCCUAUUUUGUUGGUUUCUAGGAUUGACGUAAUGAUUAAUAGGGAUAGUUGGGGGCAUUAGUAUUCAAUUGUCAGAGGUGAAAUUCUUGGAUUUAUUGAAGACUAACUACUGCGAAAGCAUUUGCCAAGGAUGUUUUCAUUAAUCAAGAACGAAAGUUAGGGGAUCGAAGACGAUCAGAUACCGUCGUAGUCUUAACCAUAAACUAUGCCGACUAAGGAUCGGAUGAUGUUAAUUUUUUAAUGACUCAUUCGGCGCCUUA